UACGAAGGGGGCUAGCGUUGCUCGGAAUCACUGGGCGUAAAGCGCACGUAGGCGGCUUUUUAAGUCAGGGGUGAAAUCCUGGAGCUCAACUCCAGAACUGCCUUUGAUACUGAGAAGCUUGAGUCCGGAAGAGGUGAGUGGAACUCCGAGUGUAGAGGUGAAAUUCGUAGAUAUUCGCAAGAACACCAGUGGCGAAGGCGGCUCACUGGCCCGAUACUGACGCUGAGGCACGAAAGCGUGGGGAGCAAACAGG
rnacentral:rRNA from 1 species